rnacentral:tRNA from 1 species
GUGGGGCUGUAGCUCAGUGGUAGAGCCCUUGCCUCUCAGGUGUGAGGCCCUAGGUUUGAUCCUCAGCACCACA